UUGAUCCUGGCUCAGGACGAACGCUGGCGGCGUGCCUAAUACAUGCAAGUCGAGCGGACAGAUGGGAGCUUGCUCCCUGAUGUUAGCGGCGGACGGGUGAGUAACACGUGGGUAACCUGCCUGUAAGACUGGGAUAACUCCGGGAAACCGGGGCUAAUACCGGAUGGUUGUUUUGAACCGCAUGGUUCAAACAUAAAAGGUGGCUUCGGCUACCACUUACAGAUGGACCCGCGGCGCAUUAGCUAGUUGGUGAGGUAACGGCUCACCAAGGCAACGAUGCGUAGCCGACCUGAGAGGGUGAUCGGCCACACUGGGACUUGAGACACGGCCCAGACUUCCUACGGGAGGCAGCAGUAGGGAAUCUUCCGCAAUGGACGAAAGUCUGACGGAGCAACGCCGC
rnacentral:rRNA from 1 species